rnacentral:rRNA from 1 species
UACAGAGGGUGCGAGCGUUAAUCGGAAUUACUGGGCGUAAAGGGCGCGUAGGUUGUUUUUUAAGUGAGAUGUGAAAUCCCUGGGCUUAACCUAGGAAUUGCAUCUUAUACUGAAGAACUGGAGUACCGUAGAGGGUAGUGGAAUUUCCGGUGUAGCGGUGAAAUGCGUAGAUAUCGGAAGGAACACCAGUGGCGAAGGCGGCUACCUGGACAGAUACUGACACUGAGGCGCGAGAGCGUGGGGAG